rnacentral:lncRNA from 1 species
GUAAAUAAAGUCUUAUUAGAGAUGACAAAUUGGAUAUGAACAUUUCAUAUUUUAAUGAAUAAAUAAAGACAAAUAGCAUACAAGUACAAGGCACUGAUAUACGCAUUUGAAUGCUCAAGGUUAAUUUAGUUUCCAAGUUUGAGGAUGUAAGAUGCUGCAUCACCAUACUGAAUAUAGUCAUUUGUAUCUUUGUGUAGGGUUUCCUUUAAAGUGGUGAAUCUUUCUUCUAUUUAUCUAUACUUCUUUGAUUUUCCUCUUAUCUUGCCACCUGCUGCACACUGUACUUUCUUUGCCUCGUAAGCUGAUGCUCUUUCUUGAACACAUUGAUAAUUUAAAAUAUGUUUGGAUGUGCUGUUUUGGCUCUCUUUUUGAGCUUGUUAUGCCAGCUCUCUAAAUGCUUAUUUGUCCUGGGUCCUUCUGUCUGGUGGUGGUUCCAGAUUUGUUGUGGGUAUCUGCCCUCUCUUCAUAUCACAAUUAUACGUUAUCUUGGUGCAGGCAUUAGUCUGUGGUGCGUUUUCCAAGGUGUGUAUUCUUGGUUAAGUAUUUGGUAAACGUGAUUGCAGUUUUGUCUGGUAGAGUGCUGAUCUACUACUUUCGAAUGAAGGCAGUUUUGUGCAGUCUCAGUGGUCUGUGCAUCUCAUGAUAAACUAAUCAUUAGUAAUUUGUUCAAAUCUUGAAGAAGUCAAGUCAUUGAAUACCAUGGAUUUUGCUUAAUAUAUAUAAUUAGCACAGUUUUGAAGAUUUUUUAAUAUUUAUUUUAUUAAAGUUUCUGUUAUGCAAUUAAACAAGUCUGUGGGAAAAUAUGUGGGUUUUAUUUCUAUUAAACUUUUUGUGUUGCAAAAUGUAAAGGAUAAUUACAUUAUUUUGAUUUUUCUAACUGCAUGAAUUAAAAAAAGUUGCAACUUUUAUUAAAUAUGAAACAAACAAUAUUUCAAGAGAAGCAACUUUCUAACUACAUUUUUUUUA